ACCCACUAGCUGCAGAGGAUUUGACAACAACAGGCAGAACUGGCUCCUGAGACCUAACCCAGGAAUGGCCCUCACUGGACCAACUGCCAGGGCUCCAGUCUGCUCGCUGCUGGUUCUCUUGUAUCUUCGUACAGUCACAGGAAUGUCAGGCUGGGGUGGAUGUUUGGACGGCC